rnacentral:rRNA from 1 species
ACGAGAGAUCGUAUCCUUCAGUUCGGCUGGAUCGGAGACAGGUGCUGCAUGGCUGUCGUCAGCUCGUGUCGUGAGAUGUUGGGUUAAGUCCCGCAACGAGCGCAACCCUCGCCCUUAGUUGCCAGCAUUCAGUUGGGCACUCUAAGGGGACUGCCGGUGAUAAGCCGAGAGGAAGGUGGGGAUGACGUCAAGUCCUCAUGGCCCUUACGGGCUGGGCUACACACGUGCUACAAUGGUGGUGACAGUGGGCAGCGAGACCGCGAGGUCGAGCUAAUCUCCAAAAGCCAUCUCAGUUCGGAUUGCACUCUGCAACUCGAGUGCAUGAAGUUGGAAUCGCUAGUAAUCGCAGAUCAG